rnacentral:rRNA from 1 species
GAGAGUUUGAUCCUGGCUCAGGAUGAACGCUAGCUACAGGCUUAACACAUGCAAGUCGAGGGGCAGCAUGGUCUUAGCUUGCUAAGGCCGAUGGCGACCGGCGCACGGGUGAGUAACGCGUAUCCAACCUGCCUUACACUCUUGGACUGCCUUCUGAAAGGGAGAUUAAUACAAGAUGUUAUCAUGAGUAAGCAUUUUCGCAUGAUUAAAGGUUUACCGGUGUAAGAUGGGGAUGCGUUCCAUUAGAUAGUAGGCGGGGUAACGGCCCACCUAGUCUUCGAUGGAUAGGGGUUCUGAGAGGAAGGUCCCCCACAUUGGAACUGAGACACGGUCCAAACUCCUACGGGAGGCAGCAGUGAGGAAUAUUGGUCAAUGGACGAGAGUCUGAACCAGCCAAGUAGCGUGAAGGAUGAAGGUUCUAUGGAUUGUAAACUUCUUUUAUACGGGAAUAAACGAAUCCACGCGUGGAUUUUUGCAUGUACCGUAUGAAUAAGGAUCGGCUAACUCCGUGCCAGCAGCCGCGGUAAUACGGAGGAUCCGAGCGUUAUCCGGAUUUAUUGGGUUUAAAGGGAGCGUAGAUGGGUUGUUAAGUCAGUUGUGAAAGUUUGCGGCUCAACCGUAAAAUUGCAAUUGAUACUGGCAGUCUUGAGUACAGUUGAGGUAGGCGGAAUUCGUGGUGUAGCGGUGAAAUGCUUAGAUAUCACGAAGAACUCCGAUUGCGAAGGCAGCUUACUAACCUGUAACUGACAUUGAUGCUCGAAAGUGUGGGUAUCAAACAGGAUUAGAUACCCUGGUAGUCCACACGGUAAACGAUGAAUACUCGCUGUAGGCGAUAUACAGUCUGCGGCCAAGCGAAAGCAUUAAGUAUUCCACCUGGGGAGUACGCCGGCAACGGUGAAACUCAAAGGAAUUGACGGGGGCCCGCACAAGCGGAGGAACAUGUGGUUUAAUUCGAUGAUACGCGAGGAACCUUACCCGGGCUUAAAUUGCAACCGAAUAUGGCGGAAACGCUAUAGCUAGCAAUAGCGGUUGUGAAGGUGCUGCAUGGUUGUCGUCAGCUCGUGCCGUGAGGUGUCGGCUUAAGUGCCAUAACGAGCGCAACCCUUGCCGAUAGUUACUAACAGGUCAUGCUGAGGACUCUGUCGGGACUGCCAUCGUAAGAUGUGAGGAAGGUGGGGAUGACGUCAAAUCAGCACGGCCCUUACGUCCGGGGCUACACACGUGUUACAAUGGGGGGUACAGAGGGCUGCUACCACGCAAGUGGAUGCCAAUCCCAAAAACCUCUCUCAGUUCGGAUUGAAGUCUGCAACCCGACUUCAUGAAGCUGGAUUCGCUAGUAAUCGCGCAUCAGCCACGGCGCGGUGAAUACGUUCCCGGGCCUUGUACACACCGCCCGUCAAGCCAUGGGAGCCGGGGGUACCUGAAGUGCGUAACCGCAAGGAGCGCCCUAGGGUAAAACUGGUGACUGGGGCUAAGUCGUAACAAGGUAGCCG